AUCCAGCUGGCUCAGUUGAUAGAGCAUGUGACUCUUGAUCUCAGGUUUGUGAGUUCCAGCCCCAUGGUGGGUG
rnacentral:tRNA from 1 species